CUGCUCUUGGCAAUUUGAAAAGAAGAAAAUACAAAUAAAAUAGACUAUUUCAGCUAUUCUAUUAGGUCAUAAUCUGAUCUGAGUAAACGUGAUAAGACACC